rnacentral:rRNA from 1 species
AUUGAACGCUGGCGGCAGGCCUAACACAUGCAAGUCGAACGAGUGGCGGACGGGUGAGUAAUGUCUGGGAAACUGCCCGAUGGAUGGGGAUAACUACUGGAAACUGUAGCUAAUACCGCAUACCAUCGGAUCUGCCCAGAUGGGAUUAGCUAGUAGGUGGGGUAAUGGCUCACCUAGGCGACGAUCCCUAGCUGGUCUGAGAGGAGGACCAGCCACACUGGAACUGAGACACGGUCCAGACUCCUACGGGAGGAGGCAGGGGGGAAUAUUGCACAAUGGGCGAAAGCCUGAUGCAGCCAUGCCGCGUGUAUGAAGAAGGCCUUCGGGUUGUAAAGUACUUUCAGCGGGGAGGCGUUACUCGAAGAAGAAGCACCGGCUAACUCCGUGCCAGCAGCCGCGGUAAUAC